rnacentral:rRNA from 1 species
AAGCGGAGCAUGAAAGCAUAUGGCUCAACCAUAUAAACAUGUUCUGAACUGCUAAGCUAGAGAAUGGUAGGGGUUACUGGAAUUCCUGGUGUAGGGGUAAAAUCCGUAGAUAUCAGGAGGAACACCAAUGGCGUAGGCAGGUAACUGGACCAUUUCUGACGCUCAGACACGAAAGCGUGGGUAGCGAUCGGGAUUAGAUACCCCGGUAGUCCACGCCGUAAACGAUGGAUGCUA